ACUCCUACGGGAGGCAGCAGUUAGGAAUCUUCGGCAAUGGGCGAAAGCCUGACCGAGCGACGCCGCGUGAAGGACGAAGGCCUUCGGGUCGUAAACUUCUAAAAGAGGGACGAUAGUGACGGUACCUCUUGAAAAGCACCGGCUAACUCCGUGCCAGCAGCCGCGGUAAUA
rnacentral:rRNA from 1 species